CAUUACUGAGUUUACGCUCUACAACCCUUUGUGAACAUACCUAUAACUGUUGCUUCGGCGGGUAGGGUCCCCGUGACCCUCCCGGCCUCCCGCCCCCGGGCGGGUCGGCGCCCGCCGGAGGAUAACCAAACUCUGAUUUAACGACGUUUCUUCUGAGUGGUACAAGCAAAUAAUCAAAACUUUUAACAACGGAUCUCUUGGUUCUGGCAUCGAUGAAGAACGCAGCGAAAUGCGAUAAGUAAUGUGAAUUGCAGAAUUCAGUGAAUCAUCGAAUCUUUGAACGCACAUUGCGCCCGCCAGCAUUCUGGCGGGCAUGCCUGUUCGAGCGUCAUUUCAACCCUCAAGCUCUGCUUGGUGUUGGGGCCCUACAGCUGAUGUAGGCCCUCAAAGGUAGUGGCGGACCCUCCCGGAGCCUCCUUUGCGUAGUAACUUUACGUCUCGCACUGGGAUCCGGAGGGACUCUUGCCGUAAAACCCCCCAAUUUUCCAAAGGUUGACCUCGGAUCAGGUAGGAAUACCCGCUGAACUUAAGCAUAUCAA
rnacentral:rRNA from 2 species